GCGUAUACAUCGUCUUCCUGCUUGGCGAAGCAGCCGGCGUGGACCAGCAUGCGCAUGAGGCGUCGGAGGUCGGCGACCCUGGCGGGAGGGAGGCUGAGGGCGGCGGCCAGCUGAGGGAGAGUUGCGGCGCCGCCGUGGGCGUGAAUGGCGUCGGGGACGCCGAGCUCCACCGCGCACUUGACGGACAUGGAGGUGAUGAAUCUAAACGUGUGGUUCCACACCUCGCUCUGGGCCUCAAGCUCCUCCAUGAUGCCCACAGCAACAGGGUUCUCCAUGCUCUUCGGUACAGG
rnacentral:lncRNA from 1 species